CAUGAAUCUCAGGAUCAAUAGCAGGGCUGCACGGGUCUUUGGUCGCCAGUUGGCUGUAAUCGGAGACCAGCUGGACCAGGAGCGGGCCAGUCGACAGCUAAACUGGUUACCGAUCCCUCUGCACAUACUGAGACCUGCUCAGGCACUGACCAGGAACAUCUAUCGAGAUAUCCACAGUCAGUUAUGGAGCUUCCAGGGCUUGUCUGCUGCAGUGAAGGCCUGGAUAGCAAGCACUGCACCUGGGCAGGGGAUCCUCAGAUCUGAGACCUGGGUGUCCAAUUUUAAAGCGGCAACUUGCACUGGCUGGACCAGAGGAGCACUGGUGACUGUGGCACUGGUGGCUGCAGUGACCAUUUUCAGUGCAUUAUGGAUGGAAGGGAAAGCCUAAGUGGCCACAAGCAGGUCUUUCGGCCAUUGAAUAUUUAACAAAAAAAAAGAUGUUUGCAAAUAAGUGAG